rnacentral:lncRNA from 1 species
CAGGAAUAAACGGAGCACGCAGCCGAAUCGUCGCAUCAUCGAAUCGUCAUGAUCGUACAGACUAAACGGUAAAGGGCCUCAGAGGUGUUCCUGCAUUGAGCUUCUGUUUUCCUGUGCUUCCUGUAUUCCUGUCUUAUCUCCUCUGUAGAGGUAUUCCG